rnacentral:tRNA from 7 species
GGACGAUUAGCUCAGCUGGCUAGAGCAUCCGCUUGACGUGCGGAAGGUCAUAGGUUCGAGUCCUAUAUCGUCCACCA